GUGAAGGCGAGAGCGGCGUGUGUGUUUCUUCAACCUUCUCCCGUUAUUUUUCCCCUUUUUAAGGUGGUUCAAUACAGACGAGUGAAGGCGAGAGCUGCCUAACGGGAGAAGGUUGAAGAAGCACAACAAAGACACACCCAAAAAGAAUGAAGAAAUAUGCAUUAUCAUACCAUACUGUGGUUGAGAAUGGUUUCUAACUUCUACAUCAAGACUGAACUGCCACAUGCUCUUCCAUCUCAAGUCAUCCUGCAAUCUGAACCAGCAAGGUAAAAGCCCCAGAGAGGUUUACCCUUGGGACCGGAACCACCCCUCACCUCAGGACCUUUACCUACCAUGGACCAAAUACAUCACUCACAGAUGCUCAAUACCUGCCCAGAAUCUCAAGUUGUUUUUGUUAACCUGCUGGAUAUCAAACACAAGAUCAGGUUGGAUUUUGAUGCUCUUCACUGAUGUACUUCACAUAGCCCUUGGACUUCAAGAACAAAAGGCACUCUGUAAAGGUGACAGGAAUCACAAAAAGGAAUCUUCUCACCCUGCUUUCCUGCCAAGCGAGAAGUUUAGUGAACACAUCCAGCACUAAGCUCAGCGCCAUUAUGAGCGCUGCAGGAAUAAAAGAGUAGUAAGGGAGUGGAUGAAAAGCAGGGAGGGCUUUUGUUUCUUCUGUGCUGUGCUGUCCAUUGAUGAGGAGGUUGUUUGAGUAGAUAAGGAGAAUAAAUCCUGAGUUCUCUCUC